GUGCUCAUUUCAGAUGCACAUAUACUAAAAUUGGAACACUACUGAGAUUAGCAAGGCCCCUGCAUAAAAAUGACAUGGAAAUUUUUGAGGUAUUUCAUAUUUUU